CAGAGUAGGCUUAGCGCAUCAAGUGCCGCAGGGAUGGGAAGUCGCCCGCGGACGAAAAACGCAGCUGCGUUUGUGUUGCUAAGCCGCGUCCGCUG
rnacentral:ncRNA from 1 species